AGAGUUUGAUCCUGGCUCAGAUUGAACGCUAGCGGGAUGCUUUACACAUGCAAGUCGAACGGCAGCACGAGAGAGCUUGCUCUCUUGGUGGCGAGUGGCGGACGGGUGAGUAAUAUAUCGGAACGUGCCCAGUAGCGGGGGAUAACUACUCGAAAGAGUGGCUAAUACCGCAUACGCCCUACGGGGGAAAGGGGGGGAUCGCAAGACCUCUCACUAUUGGAGCGGCCGAUAUCGGAUUAGCUAGUUGGUGGGGUAAAGGCUCACCAAGGCAACGAUCCGUAGCUGGUUUGAGAGGACGACCAGCCACACUGGGACUGAGACACGGCCCAGACUCCUACGGGAGGCAGCAGUGGGGAAUUUUGGACAAUGGGGGAAACCCUGAUCCAGCCAUCCCGCGUGUAUGAUGAGGGCCUUCGGGUUGUAAAGUACUUUCGGCAGAGAAGAAAAGGCAUCCCCUAAUACGGGAUGCUGCUGACGGUAUCUGCAGAAUAAGCACCGGCUAACUACGUGCCAGCAGCCGCGGUAAUACGUAGGGUGCAAGCGUUAAUCGGAAUUACUGGGCGUAAAGCGUGUGUAGGCGGUUCGGAAAGAAAGAUGUGAAAUCCCAGGGCUCAACCUUGGAACUGCAUUUUUAACUGCCGAGCUAGAGUAUGUCAGAGGGGGGUAGAAUUCCACGUGUAGCAGUGAAAUGCGUAGAUAUGUGGAGGAAUACCGAUGGCGAAGGCAGCCCCCUGGGAUAAUACUGACGCUCAGACACGAAAGCGUGGGGAGCAAACAGGAUUAGAUACCCUGGUAGUCCACGCCCUAAACGAUGUCAACUAGCUGUUGGGGCCGUUAGGCCUUAGUAGCGCAGCUAACGCGUGAAGUUGACCGCCUGGGGAGUACGGUCGCAAGAUUAAAACUCAAAGGAAUUGACGGGGACCCGCACAAGCGGUGGAUGAUGUGGAUUAAUUCGAUGCAGCGCGAAAAACCUUACCUACCCUUGACAUGUCUGGAAUGCCGAAGAGAUUUGGCAGUGCUCGCAAGAGAACCGGAACACAGGUGCUGCAUGGCUGUCGUCAGCUCGUGUCGUGAGAUGUUGGGUUAAGUCCCGCAACGAGCGCAACCCUUGUCAUUAGUUGCUACGCAGGAGCACUCUAAUGAGACUGCCGGUGACAAACCGGAGGAAGGUGGGGAUGACGUCAAGUCCUCAUGGCCCUUAUGGGUAGGGCUCCACACGUCAUACAAUGGUCGGGACAGAGGGUCGCCAACCCGCGAGGGGGAGCCAAUCUCAGAAACCCGAUCGUAGUCCGGAUCGCAGUCUGCAACUCGACUGCGUGAAGUCGGAAUCGCUAGUAAUCGCGGAUCAGAAUGUCGCGGUGAAUACGUUCCCGGGUCUUGCACUCACCGCCCGUCA
rnacentral:rRNA from 1 species